rnacentral:lncRNA from 1 species
CGGUAUAGAUGACUGCUACACUUCAGCCAGAGGCUGCACUGCCACCCUGGGCAACUUUGCUAAGGCCACCUUUGAUGCCAUCUCCAAGACUUACAGCUACCUGACCCCCGACCUCUGGAAAGAGACUGUCUUCACCAAGUCUCCUUAUCAGGAAUUCACGGAUCAUCUUGUGAAAACCCACACCAGAGUCUCUGUUCAGAGGACCCAGGCUCCAGCUGUGGCUACCACAUAAGGGUUUUUAUAUGAGAAAAAUAAAAGAAUUAAGUCUGCUGA